CUAACCCAAAAUGGAAAUAGCACGAUCAUUAUUGACUUGUUCGGGUUGUGAUGAAGAAGAACCCUACCUGCUUUAUUGCAUGCUCAGCAGUGGCAUAACUUCAUUGCACGUUUCCAACAAUGGAUGCCACUGAGGGCAAUGCGCGCAUACUCAAUUUGGUGUUUCUGCUUCCCCGUCAAAACGUACCUCCAUUCUCUAAUGUCUUUUGCGUUUUGAUUAUCGGACCGUUGAGGUUUCACCAGGAAUCCAGGACUUCUGCUGAUGCAAAAGGUUGACAGUUGAUGAGAAAAUCAGCAUGAAUUCCAGGGGGGCUAAUGACAGUUGUUUGACUUAUCUGAUUGGGAUGAGUAAUUGAGGUAACAGUCAACUUUUGUUCUUCAAUUUUCCAUCAACAAUUAAUAAUUUGCAUAUUCAGAUGCCCAUUUCUGGAUUAAUAUACUAUAUUUCUUAGCACCCUAGUUCUAGUCAUAUAAGGUAACACUCGAUCAGAAGGAAAGGAAGCACCACUGCCAAAUAAACACUCUGUCCUAGGUUUAGAAAAUUAGAAAAAAAGAAGAAGAUAAAACAAGAUGCGCCGCUUCGAGUAAUCUUUUCCCCUCUUCCUUUCCUUCUUGUUCUUCACCCAGACUGGACUCUCCAUUUGAAUCCGAAAGUAGGAACCAAUGAGUUCUUCUUCGUCUAACCAAGUGGCCAAGUUUCAAAUGUAAAAGACAACACUGUUUUGGCAACAAAGUGAAUUUGGAUGCAUCGAUGCGUCCAAAUGAACAAACUAUGUUUCUGACCUCAUAAUGCCAACAUUGAAGCAGGAUACCUGACUUUUACGACACACAAUCAAUUGAAGAUAUACAGUGAAUUUUCUAUUUUUAUUUUUAUUAUUAUUAUUAUUGUUAAGAAAAAUAAGGUUGAUGAUAUUUUGUAACUCGUUAAUUUGAAUUAUAUACUUUAAUGAUGUGUUUACUUUUUUUUAGGCUAAGAAAGUGAAGAAAGCUCUUCAGCCGGAGUGGCUUAAGUCUCUUCUGAAAAGGACUUUCUUUGAAUCUUCCUGUGCAACUCAUCCUGUGCUUAAGAAUGAGUUAAACCAAUACUGUGUAACCUGUACUGAGCUAAUUUGCCAAAAUUGUGCAUCUGGACCCAAACAUGUUCUUCAUAAGGUGAUCACAAUCUACAAGCAUAGUUACAAAGCUGUUGUUCGCAUUGAUGCUAUGAGAGAGCAUAUUGACUGCUCACAAAUUCAGCCUUACAAAUCCAAUAAGCUUUCCGUUAUUGCUCUGGAGCCUCUUCCGCACCAUGGUUCUGUAAAAUGGAGAAGGGCAUCAUCAUGCAAGACCUGUAGGAGAAAGUUGGCCAACCCCAAUUUAUAUCGUUACUGCUCCAUAUCUUGCAAGGUGCUGAGAGUAAAGUAGUAAACUUAGCAUCAUCCACAAUCUUGAUUUCCCAUCCCCUAACACCUUCCAUUAAAUUCGCGAUUUGAAUUAUCACUCUCUGACUAUUUAAUCUGAUAUCUCAGGUCCAAGCUGUUUUAACCUUCAUUUUGCUUAAGGAGGAUCAAAAGGAGGAAGCUGGAACCAGCAAGCGGGUAAAUAAGAGAAAGGGAACCCCUGCCAGAGCUCCCUUCUUCUAAAGGCCUCCGGUUAUGUAAUAAUCAAGGAAGCUGCUCUAUUUCUUAUGUAAAGAGAUUCUUUAACAUCUGAAUUUUCGUCUUUGGUGGCUUCUACCUUUUGAUUAUCAUAUGACUAUGCAUGAGGUUACUUCAAACUUGAUGACAUUCUGGCUAAGUUGCUGUUUGUGGUUUUAUGACAUUCUA